rnacentral:lncRNA from 1 species
UUCAAAAGGGACCUCCUUCCUUUCAAAGUUUUGUUGAUGAUGAUUGUUGUUGGUAUUGUUGUUGUUGUAGGUGUUUGUUCAUUAUUGCGGUUGUUGUUGUUGAGUUGGUGUUGUUGAACUGGUGUUGCUUGUUGAUUAGAAAAUACUUAGAUAACGGAAGAUACUUGAUGAUGAUGAUGUUGAUGGGAUGUUGGAUUCCUUCUGAUCUGAGGCCUCCUCUGUGUCCCACGGGAAAUUGCAUUUGUCUGACUGUCUUUCUUCUUACCAAAAUUACUACCAUACCUCUUGCUUGUUGAUGCCUCAUCUCUUGACAAAC